rnacentral:misc_RNA from 1 species
CUAACGGGUAAGAACGUACUCACUCGCAACAAGUCCAACAUCCCACACCUCUGCCAGCUCAGCCAGCAGUUGCCCAGCCAUUCAACCAACACAGUUCUCCCUUCAAUCGAAACGCCACUCGUAGUGCAUUCAAGAGUUUCAGCGCGCCUAAUUUGAAAUCUCUCAACAAGUGCUGCUCUUCUAGUGCGUUCGGUUCUUACUACCAGUGAAAUAUCUUUAGUGUCACAAUGCAUUCAUCAUCCAAUCAGAGAUUUUUGAAAUGGGGAGCCCUCCUCUUCAACUUUAUCGUCCUCAUUGUGGGACCGACCCUGAUGGCCUUGUCACUCCGGGUCCUUUUCGAUCCCGAUUUCACCCACUUGUUUUUCCACGACGGUAAUUAUUUCGUCGGACACAUUCUGGUCGCCAUCGGCGCUUUGAUGACAGUGGCCGGAAUCCUCGGAUGCAUCGGAGUCUUGGCCGAAAACAGCUGCCUCCUCUGGAUGUUUUUCGCUUCCAUGGCAAUUUUCCUGAUUACCGAAAUCGUCGGAGGUUUCGUCCUCUACCAGCAGCAGGCCGACCUGCAGAACGACGUCCACAAUUCCAUCCGGGUGGCCGUCGAGCGUCACUAUGGCAACGACCUCUCCAACACCACCAAACUGGACCUCAUCCAAGAAGCCUGGAAAUGUUGCGGAACGACGGGCUACAAGAGCUGGUCCCGCUCCGAGUACGGCAAACGCCACAUGACCCGCGAUUUCAUCGACAAGGACGCCACUUACACGGUCCCGAAAUCCUGCUGCGUCGACCAGACGUCCUUCGAAUGCGAGCGAGUCUCCUUUUCGGACGGUGUCCGCGGUGAAGAUCAAUCGAGAGUUCUCUUCCAGGAGGGAUGCGGUAAGAAAUUGGUGGACACCAUCAACAGCUACGCCAGGUACACCUUCGUCACCAUCACCGUAGUGGCGGUCGUCCAGAUCGUUGCCAUGGUGUUGACGGCACUUUUCGCCGUCAACAUCCGCCAGCAAGUGAGCGGUGACAGCCGAUUCACUUCGCGACAGGGUCUCAAUUCAUCUUACGCAUCAGCGCCCAUGCUAUCCAAUUCUUUUUCUUUUCAUAAUCACAGCGCCGAAUCGGCCGAUUCCAAACGACAAUUCACCCCUUCUUCCACAUCGAUGAACUCGUUAAAUCUGGAGCCGGUCAUCAUGUCCAAAUCGUCAUCGCUUGUUUGAAUCAAUCGAACAUUUUUUAAAAAAUUUUUUCCUAAUUUAAUUCGAGUGUCUUAUUUUCUAGCCAUAAAAUUGUAUGAAUCAAAUCAGGAAUUCCAAAUAAUCUCCCCCCACCAUGAAAAUUCUGUGUGAAUGUACAUACGUGUGAAUGAAUGUUGAUGACGAAUUGCCUUUGAUUAAUCACGCCGACGACGACUACAUAAAAAUGUGACAAGACUUUAUGACAAUACAUCGACUGAUUGUUACCGACUCUUUUAUAUAGACCUCUCAUUUGGCAUUUUAUCCUUGUACAAAAGACGAUUGUUCAUUCAACUUCCCUUUUUGAUAUCAAACAUCUUCAUCGACUACUAUUUUAAUAAUUAGCGACUUGUACUAAUUAUAACGAACGUUUCAUGUAGGACAAAUGUCUAAAAAACUUAACGGACUAUCAGAAUUCAGACUCGAAGAAUUUUAAUUGGACAUCCGGACUCAUUCAACUAACUUACAAGGAUAUAUGCCUUUGAACUGAAAAUACAAGAAUUUUAUAUCGAUUUAA